UAUUUAGUUUCUAUAUGGGAGAGGGUAUCCAUGCCAUGGGGCAUAUGUGGAGGUCAGAGACAAGCGAAGGAGUCAUUUCUCUCUGGAUCCCAAAUGUGUGUGUUGAUCAGAUUUACUUUUAAUUUUAAAAAAAUAUUUAUUUAUCUAUUCCCUGUAUAUGAGUGCUCUGUCUACAUGUAUGCCUGCAUGCCAGAAGAGGGCAGCAGAUCCCAUUACAGAUGGUUGUGAGCCAUUCUGGAAGAGGAGCCACUGCUCGUAACUGCUGAGCCAUCUCUCCAGCCCGGACUGGGUUUAUUAUAUGAGUGUUUGACCUGAGACUGCAUAGCCACAUGCAUGUAGUGUCUGUGGAGGCUGGAAGAGGUAGUCGGGUCCCCUGAAACUAGAUUUAAAGACGGUUGUAAACCACCGUCUGGGUGCUGAGUACCAAACCCAGGUCCUCUACAAGAGAAACCAGAGUUCUUAGCCACUGAGCCAUGUCUACUCGCCCCCCCUUCUCUAUUCCCCUCAUAGGUUUUUAAGGCUUAUGUCCCAAGGGCUGGGUUCUUGGCUUGGGAACCCAUUUUUGGGAGGCACAGUGUGAAGGAAAUGAGCAAGGGGGCUGGAUGGAGUUCAGUGGUAGAGAGCACUUGAUUUGCCUGGCUUUCAUGACAGCCAGGCUCAGUUCGCCAGAUUUGAUCGAGAUGGACUGGGGACACAGAUGGGAGAGGAUCCACGAUGCUUUAGGGAGAGCGAUACAGAGGAGCACGUAAUUGUGAGAGAAGCGGGGACCACAACUCCUGGAACCAGGAAUUUCAGGCUGUGUGACCCUGGACACGUAGUCAGAGCCGCGGGUCUACACCCCCGCGCCGAGCCAACCAAUCGGCGUUCGCCUCACUCUGUUCUACUCCAUCCUGUUAAUUCGAUUGGUCUGAAGAAACUGGAGCAGGCGGAGAGACAGAGGGAAUCCCAGCUUACUCAAGUGCAGCCUCAGAAAAGAACUCAGUCUGCAGCAGGAGGCAGGACAGAGCUGAGCUCCCAGCAUCCUCUGCCACUGACAAGACCUGGGCACACAUCAGAGGUCCUAGCUGGCACCACAACUUCUGGGUCUGCAGGCCUGAGAAUUCAUGUUCCUAGCAAGUUCCCAGGUGAAGCUGAGUUGCUGCUGCUGUUAAUGGCCUAGGUCUGUCUGCCUGUCUGUUUGUCUGUCUGACAGGAUUUCAUGUAGUUUGGGUUGCCCUGGAACUCC